ACCCGCUGAAUUUAAGCAUAUCACUAAGCGGAGGAAAAGAAACUAACCAGGAUUCCCCUAGUAACGGCGAGUGAAGAGGGAAAAGCCCAGCACCGAAGCCUGCGGCAGUUUUGCUGUUAGGCAAUGUGGUGUUUGGGUCGGCUCGUGGGACUACCACUCCACUCGAAGUCCAGCAUUGAGUAUGGUUACUGGAUUUGGCCCAGAGAGGGUGAAAGGCCCGUACGGGUGGAGUCACAGACAUGUGAGGUGGUUCACCAGGUCGACCUUAGAGUCGGGUUGUUUGGGAAUGCAGCCCAAAGCGGGUGGUAAACUCCAUCCAAGGCUAAAUACUAGCACGAGUCCGAUAGCGAACAAGUACCGUGAGGGAAAGUUGAAAAGUACUCUGAAGAGAGAGUAAACAGUACGUGAAACCGCAUGCAGGUAAACGGGUGGCGUCAAGCUGCAAGCCCGGAGAAUUCAGUCGGCUAGGGUGUCGUGUAUGCGCCUGGCGCAUCCAUCAGUCGGAGUAUGAUUGGAUAGUCCACCAGUAGACGGUGGGCUUGGCCGCGAGGUCAGGAUAUGUGUACCGGGUGGAUGCCGGAGCAUGCUAUCCGUCUGGGGACUGUCUAGCCGGUGCACUUUCUCCGUGGUCAACACCACGACCGGUGGUAUUGCCAGUCUGCUGUGUCCAAGUCGUGCUUGGUGGGUCCUCGUGGCCCUCCUGGGUGCGAUCACAGGCAAGCCCAGUGAACGGCGCAGAGGUGUUUUUUCGGCACUUCUGUGUGCUAUCGGCCACUGGUUGCCAACGAGUCUGCUCAGUGUUUGUUGUAACCGACACGCGUGUGGAGUGGCUCGGUGGGGCAUGGUGGUAGGAAUAACUGUGCAAGGCACCGGGGUUGUCGGCCUCAAAUGCGUCCUGCACACACACGUUACAAGUGUGGUAUCGGCGGUGUCGCGGCUGCCUGCUCGGUGUUCUGGGUGUGAUUGGCGUGUAGCCUGCAAAAAGCAGGCCCGCUGAUGGCUCGGCUCGAGGUGGGCGGUUGUUUGGCGGUGCUGUCGGUGUGGGACGUUGUGGGCCAAAUAGUCUGUGGUGUAGUGGUAGACGAGCUACCCGACCCGUCUUGAAACACGGACCAAGGAGUUUAACAUGUAUGCAAGUCAAUGGGCGUUACGAAACCCAAAGGCGCAGUGAAAGUGAAGCUUCGACUUGUCUUCUCGGAGUGAGGUGAGAUCCUGCUGUUACUCGCACCAGCCUAAUGCCAGCAUCAGGCUAAGAGCAGUGGGCGCAUCACCGGCCCGUCCCAUGAUGUGGUCAUUGGAUGUCCGCGGUUGUUGUUGUUGCUGUUGUUUCGGUAGCGGCGACCGACAGACCGUGGGGUGCCAGUGCGUCAUCGGGGCGGUGCAUGAGCAUACACGUUGAGACCCGAAAGAUGGUGAACUAUGCUUGCGUAGGUUGAAGCCAGAGGAAACUCUGGUGGAGGACCGCAGCGAUUCUGACGUGCAAAUCGAUCGUCAAACGUGAGCAUAGGGGCGAAAGACUAAUCGAACCAUCUAGUAGCUGGUUCCCUCCGAAGUUUCCCUCAGGAUAGC
rnacentral:rRNA from 1 species